AUUUUUUUAGUAUAAUAAGUAUAUUUAACUUCCAAUUAAAAGGUCUUAAUAAAGAAAAAAUA
rnacentral:tRNA from 1 species